GACGAACGCUGGCGGCGUGCUUAACACAUGCAAGUCGAACGCUGAAGCUCAGCUUGCUGGGUGGAUGAGUGGCGAACGGGUGAGUAACACGUGAGUAACCUGCCCCCUUCUUUGGGAUAACGCCCGGAAACGGGUGCUAAUACUGGAUAUUCACUGAUCUUCGCAUGGGGGUUGGUGGAAAGGUUUUGUCUGGUGGGGGAUGGGCUAGCGGCCUAUCAGCUUGUUGGUGGGGUGAUGGCCUACCAAGGCUUUCACGGGUUGCCGGCCUGAGAGGGUGACCGGUAACAUUGGCACGGACCUCCGGCCCAGAGUACUACGGGGGGCAGAAGUGGGGAAUAUUGCCCAAUGGGCGACAGACUGAUGCCGCGACGGCGCGUGAGGGCUGGGGGCCUUAGGGUUGUAAACCUCUUUCGCUCAUGGUCAAGCCGCAACAUUGGUUGUGGUGAGGGUAGUGGGUAAAGAAGCGCCGGCUAACUACGUG
rnacentral:rRNA from 1 species